rnacentral:rRNA from 1 species
AGUAAAAGUCGUAACAAGGUCUCCGUAGGUGAACCUGCGGAGGGAUCAUUACAAGUGACCCCGGCUACGGCCGGGAUGUUCAUAACCCUUUGUUGUCCGACUCUGUUGCCUCCGGGGCGACCCUGCCUUCGGGCGGGGGCUCCGGGUGGACACUUCAAACUCUUGCGUAACUUUGCAGUCUGAGUAAACUUAAUUAAUAAAUUAAAACUUUUAACAACGGAUCUCUUGGUUCUGGCAUCGAUGAAGAACGCAGCGAAAUGCGAUAAGUAAUGUGAAUUGCAGAAUUCAGUGAAUCAUCGAAUCUUUGAACGCACAUUGCGCCCCCUGGUAUUCCGGGGGGCAUGCCUGUUCGAGCGUCAUUUCACCACUCAAGCCUCGCUUGGUAUUGGGCAACGCGGUCCGCCGCGUGCCUCAAAUCGACCGGCUGGGUCUUCUGUCCCCUAAGCGUUGUGGAAACUAUUCGCUAAAGGGUGUUCGGGAGGCUACGCCGUAAAACAACCCCAUUUCUAAGGUUGACCUCGGAUCAGGUAGGGAUACCCGCUGAACUUAAGCAUAUCAAUAAGCGGAGGA